rnacentral:rRNA from 1 species
CGGAGGGUGCAAGCGUUGCUCGGAAUUAUUGGGCGUAAAGGGUAGGUAGGUGGUCUCAUUUGUCUGGGGUGAAAGCCUUGAGCUUAACUCAAGAAGUGCCCUAGAAACGGUGAGACUAGAGUUCUGGAGAGGGUCGUGGAAUUCCCGGUGUAGCGGUGAAAUGCGUAGAGAUCGGGAGGAACACCAGAGGCGAAGGCGGCGACCUGGACAGAUACUGACACUCAACUACGAAAGCGUGGGGAGCAAACAGGAUUAGAUACCCUGGUAGUCCACGCUGUAAACGAUGGGUACUAGGUUUGGUGGGUCUUGACCCCCGCCGAACCGGCGCUAACGCACUAAGUACCCCGCCUGGGAAGUACGGUCGCAAGACUA